rnacentral:rRNA from 1 species
UACGUAGGGGGCAAGCGUUGUCCGGAAUCAUUGGGCGUAAAGCGCGUGUAGGCGGCUAGAUAAGUCUGCUCUGAAAGCCCGGGGCUCAACCCCGGGAGGCGGGUGGAUACUGUCUAGCUCGAGUCCGGAAGAGGAGUGUGGAAUUCCUGGUGUAGCGGUGAAAUGCGCAGAUAUCAGGAGGAACACCAAUUGCGAAGGCAGCUCGCUGGGACGUUACUGACGCUGAGACGCGAAAGCGUGGGGAGCAAACAGG